rnacentral:lncRNA from 1 species
UCCUCAUACUCACCGCCACCCACCGUCAGACCACCAUGUCUCUGUGGUCCUCCGCCGCAAGCCAGAAAUCACCGGCGGCGGCGCCAGCGAAGCUCCAAAAGACCUCCAAAUUUCACCACAAACUCACCUUCCCCUCCUCUUUCCAACCUCCAUAACCAUCUCCCUCAAAUCAUAACCCAACUUCUCAAAUAUUAUAUUGAAGUCUCUGGUGAAAACCCAAUUUCAUCCAAACUCGAUAAAAUUCACACCCUACCUUCACCUAACCUCUCUCAACCCUAAUCUCUCGUUGUUUUCGUUCGAAUGUUAGCAGAAUUGUUCGAAUUUCAACCAUGGAGAUGGCAGAACCUUAGGAAUUUGGAUCGGCUCAAUUGUUUUGAUUCCUUGAAUUCAGUGUUAGAUUUGAGUCACGAAAUAACGCGUUCGUUUGUUCUUAUCAAAGAACAAACGAUUACAUUAUUCCGAGGCUCGAAUCGAGUUCUCCAAUCUCCUUUCCGGGCUAUGUAGGUAAGGCAUUUUGUUCCUUCUACAUCAUUUUCCUCUUGUUAACUGUUAUUUCUGCCAAUUAGUCAAUUUAGGACUUUGUUUUAUUUUUCUUCAUUUUUUAUCAGUUCGUAUUAACUGGUCUUUAAUUAGAUUAGUUUGUUGUUUGUUAUUCAUUCUCUUUUGAUUCACAUUGGGUAUUGGUUCAUCGAUUCAACUGUGCUCGAUUUGGAAUUAAGUGUAUCAUGACUAGUUAACAUCAUUUUUUCUGUUUUGUUUAGUGAUAGGUUAAGUUUUCCAUAUAUUGUUAUAGUCUAUUCUAAUACGCUUGAUUUUGUGUUUUAGUUAAUUAGUCACGGCCAUUGGAUUUAGGUUCAUAUCAGUUAAAUUUGAUUAUUUAAGGGGUUUUGUUUGAUUGAUUUUAGUUUUUAUUUAUUUAAAUCUAGUAAAUGGGCUGUUUGGUUAUGGCUGUAGUAGGUUAGUAAUUUAGAUUAAAAUUCAAGGGUAACGUAGGAUUUAGAUAGAAAGAAUCUUGGUAGCAACUAGUGAAAACUUCUGGAACAUUCUGGACAAUGUUCAAGAUAGAAUUUUAGGAAGUUAGUAUACUUACUUGAGUAACAAGUAAGUAAAUUAGGGACUAUUAAACAAAAUCUGAAAUAAAAGAGGGGGAAAAAGUGUGAACAAGAUCUAGAAGCUUCUCCUUUAAGUUUGCCUAUAAAAGGCAUGCCUCUUUGCCUUAAUAGAUAAGUUUGGAGUGCCCAAAAAUGCCCCCCAAAAUAGUUUCUCCCUAGUUCAGAUCUGAGAAUAGAAAUUCAAAUUCAAUAAAAACAAAAACAAUAAAAGACCUUCGAAAAAUCCAAAUAUAUUGUUCUAUUAGAAUUUUAGGUUAAUUUCAGCUUUUGGCUGUUUAUUUGUUGAAUUUCCAGUUCAGUUUUUUAUUGCUCUGGUUUCAGAGAUCUACUAUUUGGUUUUGGUCUCAACAGGGUUAUUGUGGGAUCAGCUCUUGGGUUUUAUGCUUCUGUGAAAUAUUCUGGGGCAUUUACAAGCAUAUCUGGCUUCAUUCGACUGAUCGUUGGUCGAUUUUGAUUACUGGAGAAAUCCUAUAGUUUCUGGGUCAAGUUUGUGUUUGAUUGCUUGGAUUUUGUUUGGUUUCAAACUCCCCUUGGUCAUUGAAGUGAUUUAUGGAUGAUUGAUUUCUGCUCAUAGGUGUUGUUGCUGACUGAUUUUGCUUCUUCCUAUUUCUAAAUUCCAGGUAUUUUUCCUUGGCCUCAUUUAAACUAAAAAGAUCCAUGUAGAUUUACUGAUUUGGAGGCUAAAUGAUGAAGAGUUCGAAUUGAUUGUUGAAUAAUUUAGUUUCUGCUUGGUAUUGAGAUGGAGCAGUCAUGCUUAUGUAAUUUGUACUGUCUGUAAUAAGUUGGACUAUAUGACUUAUCUUCAGACUCACGUAAUAGGUUGAAUGCCUAGUCUAGUUUCAGUAGUUAUAAAUAGGUUCAAAUGGUUUUAGUAGUUAUAAAUAGGUUCAAAUAGUUAUAAACAAUGUUAGUGAUUAAUGUUAGUCAGCUCUCAAGCACUUAUUCGUUUCAAUAAUUGUAAAACUGUUCCGUGUUUCUUAUAGUUCACUCCGUAGUUCCUCUAAUUUUAAAAUACCACAUUACUUGAAUGCUAGUCCAGUAGAGGUAGUUUGAAUAAUGGACGACUUUGGGAUUGGGGCAAUGGUUGACUCAUAUACAAUAUAUAAAAUCACAUAACUCAGUUUGUGUUCCUAGUUCAUUUUCACCAUAAACAAUUUAAUUAGUGCCAGCCCUGUUGUAAGUUGUUUAAACACAUUUGGAGUAUCUUGAUACCAAUUCAGCAUAUUCUCAUUUUGAGUUGGAGUUUCGUUUUGGUGCAAGGCUCAACAACCUACUUUCCACGAAUGAAAUUUAUCUCACCUGAUGCAGGCCUGGGUCCGAUAACUGAUUUCCUCUUUAAUUGGGCCUGGGCCAAAGUUUGUGACUGACCAAUGUGUUGGUGUAGACCUGCGUAAUUUUCCUUUGUUGGGGCUUGACUCGGAGCCCAGUGGUUGUGCCUUGGUGCAGAAUUAUUUCCUUUCAUUCAAUUAGCCCAGUAACAAAAUUAUUAAGGACCUCUUCUUUUUAGAGACAAAUAAUUAGAAAAUCAUAGUUACUUUGGGUUUGUCCUUUUAAAUAAAAAUGAGAUGAGCCUCGCUAAAUAAUAAGGAAAUAUUGUGGGGCCCUCAAUAAAUAGUUGUACAUAGAAUUAGGGAUAGGCCGUUUAGCGAAUUUCACGGCCUUUCCCAAAUGAUAAUGUGUUAGUCUCUUUAGGCGCGCACUUUAAUAACAUUACUUUCCUAAAUUCAGGUGCACAUUUAUAUGACCCUAAUCCAAAUCUCGACGAAGUUGAAAUAUAUCGACAACCACGGGUGCAUUGAUGUGACGUGUGUUCAGACACGUUUCCACGACGUUACAAUUCUCAUUAAAAAAUAAUAAUAAAGGAGGUUUAUAAUUAAAAUGCACAUAAUCUAAACACAUGUUUUGAAAUCAGAUAAAUCCAAAUACAACAAUUGAGUGACCGUGCUAGAACCAUGGAACCCGGGAAUGCCUAACACCUUCUCCCGAGUUAACAGAAUUCCUUACUCGAAUUUCUUGUUCACAAACUGUUAACAGAGUCAUACUUUUCCUCGGUUCGGUAUUCAAUCGGUGACUUGGGACACUAUUAAUCUCCCAAGUGGCUAUUCUGAAUCUUAAUAAUAAAUUCCAUUCUGAUGGUCCUUUAAUUGGAAAACUCCUUUAUUCCCUUGCGGGUGUAGUGAAAAAGGAGGUGUGACAGCUCUGGCGAGUCUGCUGGGAGCCAAACCCAGAACUUUGGUUCAGAGUUUAAGAAUUCGAGCUUAGAAUAAUUAUUGUGUUUGGCUUUAUCUGAUUUUCCUACAUGUUUCAUGCUAAAUGUGCUAAAUGCUUUACACUUUAAUUUUAUCUGAACUGUAUAUAAACUGUGCCGAAAACCUUCUCUUUUCACCUCCGGGGAUGUGCUUACAGGUUGAGACUCCGUAUUCCAUUAGUGUCAUACCUUAAAAUAAGAAAGAGGCCGGACAAGUUACUAAGUCGGAUGGACUUUUGGUUCCCGGUAUGUUGCCCCCUCCUCGACUUGAGUUAUCCGCUCGGGUACACUGUUUAGAACACAUACCCAGGUUUUGAACCUAGAAUAACUUGACUUCAUGCUGCAUCCCUAGAAACGCUUAUUUGAAUCAUGUGCAUUUAGCUUAGGGGACUCAACACAGAGGUUGGAUCUAUCUAGGACAAGGAACCCAAAAUAACAGUCCAUCUUGAUGCAUCCUAUGUGUUACAUGUUGCAUUUAUUCAAGGAUAAAAGGGUCAUUUGACGGACCAAUGAUUGUUGAAAGAUUAAAAUGAAAAACAGAGAAAAAUAAAAAGAAAGAAAAAGAAAAAAAAGGGUGAAGUGUGAAAAUAAAGCAAUGAGGACCUAUUUAUGUUUUUUACUUUUUUUUAUUAAGAAAAAGCAUGAAAAAUUCAAAAAGAUUUUGCAUUUGUUAUCAUUUUCUGUAAAAUCAGAAAAUCAAAAAGGAGAGAAAAAGAAAAUUCAAAAAGAUCUUGCAUGUUUCAUAAUUUUCCAAGAAAAAGCCAAAAUAUAUUGUUUCUCUAAAUUAGUUAUUUUUUAACUCUCGCAUGUAUCCAAUCGGCCCGAACUACGCAUAUCUGAUUCUCGUCUUUUGGGGCGUGAUACGUAGGCAACCCACAUAGGGUACGGUCUUCCCAGUAAAUCUUAGGUUCUUAGUUUCGUGGGUCCUAGCCAAAUCUUGCAUUUUUAGCACAUAGGUUAAUAUUUUAUUUUUGGUUAGGGGUGAUAUUGUAUGAGCUGUAGGUAAGGUGUUAAGAGGAAAUAACAAACUCAGAAGCUGAGGCAAAGUCCAUGAAAGGAAAGUCAAGGGUAGGCAUAGAUGUGGAUGCAAAGCAUGGUACACUGUUGGUCAUUAUAUUCAGCAGCAGGUUUUAUUGGCUAAUCACAACAAUAACAAUGGAUCUUAUACCCAGAACUUCUAAGUGACAUGGGCAAUAUGGUCUAAAGGAUAUUGGGAAAGGUGAUGUGAUCUUAAGGAAUACAGGGAGUCUAUACAACAACUGGACAGGAGCCUAAAAGGGUUAAAAUUCAGGAGCCAUAUUCUGAGUUUAAUUCAUGUUGAAAAUUUUCAAGAGAAGUUAGGAACUAAAUUCUUGGGGACAAAUCUGGUACAAGGGAGGCUCAUUACUUGAGCUGGAAGGUAAAAUAUGGGAGGAGUAAGGUGGCACAUGAGACUCAGGAAAGGGAAAGGAGACUGAUGGGGCAAAUGGCUUACAAGCAGGUUCAGAACUUUCGGAUUAUCUUGGAGGUGAUGGUGUUGGUCAAUAAGCUAAGAGGAGAGAUGGAGGUGAAGUUAAGAAUGGAUAUAAGGGAGCUCAUAGGAGUGCUCUCAUCAGAAGUUACAAGGAGGGAGGUGAGAGAGAUCAAAAGUAGGCAAGGGAACUAUGGCAUAAGUAGGAACAUCAAAGCUCACAGGAGGAGAUGGUCUCGACUGAAACUUGCGCUGACCUUGUUUUCUUUUUUUGCAGGAAAUGCUAGUAUAUUCAUGCCGUGCCUCCUAUUACAACUUCUAUGGGUGGUAUCAGCACCAUGUGCUCAUUCCCUUGAAGGAGGGAAAGAGACAUGCAAAAAGCAUGCGAUUUACUGCUAGAAAAAGAAACUGGAAAGCUCUGGUGUAUCAAAAGAGGAACAGAUGAACUUUCUAAAGGAAUUGGAGAGAAAAGAGACAGUAUAUCCGACUAAAGCGUCACCAGAUUUCUGUUGAUGAUUUUGAGCUUUUGACGAUCAUUGGAAGAGGAGCUUUUGGAGAGGUCAGGUUGUGCCGGGAUAAACUAUCUGGUAAUAUAUAUGCAAUGGAAAAGUUGAAGAAGUCUGAAAUGCUAAGUAGAGGGCAGGUUGAAUAUGUUCGGGCCGAAAGGAAUUUGCUUGCUGAGGUAGCAAGCCACUUUAUUGUAAAGCUUUAUUAUUCUUUCCAAGAUGCUGAUUACUUGUAUCUAGUAAUGGAAUAUCUGCCCGGUGGUGAUUUGAUGACGUUGCUGAUGAGGGAGGAGACAUUAACCAAGAAAGUCGCAAGAUUUUACAUUGCUCAAAGUGUUGUGGCCAUAGAGUCUAUUCAUAAGCACAAUUACAUUCACAGGGAUAUUAAACCUGAUAAUCUUCUUUUGGACAAAAAUGGCCACAUGAGACUGUCUGACUUUGGUCUAUGCAAACCUCUUGACUGUUCCAAUUUGUCUCCUAUAAAUGAAAAUGAAGUGAUGGAUGAUGAAAAUUCAAGGGGAUCUGCUAACAAGGGAACUGGAAGCUGUUGGAAUAGCUCCCUCGAACAACUGCAGCAUUGGCAAAUAAAUAGGAGAAAAUCAGCAUUUACCCGGUAGUGAUUUGAUGACGUUGCUGAUGAGGGAGGAGACAUUAACCAAGAAAGUCGCAAGAUUUUACAUUGCUCAAAGUGUUGUGGCCAUAGAGUCUAUUCAUAAGCACAAUUACAUUCACAGGGAUAUUAAACCUGAUAAUCUUCUUUUGGACAAAAAUGGCCACAUGAGACUGUCUGACUUUGGUCUAUGCAAACCUCUUGACUGUUCCAAUUUGUCUCCUAUAAAUGAAAAUGAAGUGAUGGAUGAUGAAAAUUCAAGGGGAUCUGCUAACAAGGGAACUGGAAGCUGUUGGAAUAGCUCCCUCGAACAACUGCAGCAUUGGCAAAUAAAUAGGAGAAAAUCAGCAUUUUCAACAGUGGGCACUCCUGACUAUAUUGCUCCUGAGGUUUUACUGAAGAAGGCUAUGGAAGAAUGUGAUUGGUGGUCACUUGGCGCCAUCAUGUAUGAGAUGCUCGUCGGUCCCCCUUCCUACUCUGAAGAUCCAAUAACAACAUGUAGGAUGGUUGUUCAUUGGAGAAAUCACUUAAAAUUCCCAGAGGAAACAAGAUUGAGUCCUAAAACCAAAGACCUGAUCUGUAGAUUGCUUUGUGAUGCUGAAAAUCGCCUUGGUUGUCGAGGAGCAGAGCAAAUAAAGGCUCAUCCCUGGUUCAAAGACGUAAAGUGGGAUAAACUUUAUGAUAUGGAGGCAUCAUAUAAGCUAGAAGUCAAUGAUGAUCUUGACACUCAAAAUUUCAUGAAGUUUGAUGAGGCAAAUCAGCCACCAACAAAAAUUAGUUCAGGACCCCAUAGAAAGAAGCUUGUAUUAAUCUUUUGCCAAACCUUUUGUGUAUCUUCACGAAUUGUCUGAAGAUUUCACAAAAUUUUGCACCAAUUGUCAGGUGGUUGGUUCAGCGGAGGAAACAAGCAGGCUUCUGCUGUGUGGGGCAACAAUUGUUAUGAUGAGAGAGUAUUUUCAUUUAUUAGGUGUGGGUCUACUUACAAGAAGUUGCCUAAGGAGAUUUUUUCUUAUGUUAGAGUAUGUUCUAUUUUUUUUUAUGUCGUCUUUUACCUUUUAGUUUUGUAUAAUAAUGACAAGUCUUUUAAGUGAUAUUAGAGUCUCAUAAGUUAAUUACAUUUAUCGAGUCUUUUGUUAUGAUAUUUCUUAUUUUGUAUUUGAAAAAAAAGAUAUGUAACGAGUCAAAAUAAAAAAAAAGAAAAUUUUGCAUUUUUAUAUUUUCAUAAAGAAAAUACUACUCCUAGAAACUAAAAAACAAAAGAAAAAAAAAUUUUGCUUUUAUAUUUCCUUUUAGUACAUUAAGACUAAAAAAUAAAUCAAAAAAAAAGAAGAAAAUUUUCAUUUAGUACUUCUCUAAGAAUUUUUCUUUUAAGAUAUUAAUUCAAAAAAAAUCCAAAGAAAGAUUUUAUGUUUGAGGCUCUUUUUCAGGGAAUUAACGGGAAAAAAUAAUUUUUUCUUUUGUGUUUAUUAGACCUUUAGGAUAUCCUACAUAGAAAAGAAGCGUAUUUUACCUUUUGUUUAUCAUUAGAAUGCCUUCUUUAGGCAAUCAAAUUAAAAUUCAAAAAUAUUUUGUUUUAUCUUUUUUAUUGCUCGUUUCGAAAUCAUGCGUUCAACAUAUCAAAUGAAUAUUUCUCUGUGGUUUAUUCUUUAGAUCUUCUUCCUAAAAAAAUGGGUCAAAAAUAUUUUUUCUUCUAGGAUUUUCCUUAAUAAAGUAUUUGUGUCAAAAAGAAAAGAAAAAAAAAAGCAAGCUCAAGUUUAGAAUAGGUUAUAAAGCAUCAAGUCUAGAAAAUUCAAAAAAUAAAGGGAUUGAUUUCUUUUAUUCCUCUUUUCUCAUGGUAGUAGUCACUAAGAUAAGAUGAAAAAAAAAAGCAAAAAAAAAAAAAGAAUGUUACUUUGUUUACUUUAUUUCCGCUCUACCCGAACUAUGCAGAUUUGAUUCUCACCGAAUGUGAGAUACGUAGGCAACCAUCAGCGGGUCCAACCUCCCCUUUGCAAAAUAGCCAAAAAAUAUCUAUGUUUAUAAUUUUGGCAUGAAUAAGUCAGGUGAAGCCGUUCUUAUCAGAAAUUGCCGAAUGUCCUUAAAAGGGCGUCGGAAGGCUGCUUUUGCAAGAACAACCAUCUUUUAGUCAAUUUUCAAGGUUUUGUCCGUUUAGCCAACAUAGUCUUAAAAUCUUCGUCCCCGAGGAGCUGAAAGGCCGUGUUUGCAAACCUCAUGUGUUUUAUAUUAAUUUGAAAAAAUAGAAAAAGAGACAGUGGUCAAACGAAUGCCACUUGGAUUUUCGGUCAAAAUAAGCUGAGCCAGCUUCAGCAGCGUCUUAAACCGUUUCUGCCGAGAUAGCCUUAGAAAACUUUCAGAUGUCGAAAAUUUUUUACGUAAAAGAAUGGACAAGUUUGUGAAGUGUCAUAAAACAAUCCCCCCCGGCAUAAAAUUCAUGUGAAAUUGAGAAGGGGCCACGUUUGCAAAAAAAAAAUCAUUUGGUUAAAAUUUGCAUGUAGGGGAAAGAAUCUGUCAGUUGGUUCUUGAGUUUGUAUUUUUGAUUAAAGUAUGUGAGUUGUUUGAUUUUCGAGUAUGUAUUUCGUUUUUUCAUCAGAGUCUAUUAGUUUUGUUAAUGUUUGUCAAUUUUUAAAUUAGUGCAAUCGAAGUUUGUUUUGUUAUUAAAAAUUGAAAAAUCCCAAAAUAGGUUUAUUGUUUUUUACCUCUUAUCUGCACGAACAAGGCCCAGUCUGAUUCAUGCGGGGUCAUGAUACGUAGGCAAUCUUCAUAGGAUUCGACCAUAACCAAAUGAAAAAGGAAAAGAAAAUAAAAAGAAAAAUAAGAGAGGAAAAAACAGAAAAGAGGAAAAAGAAAAGAGCGGAAAACAAGAAAAAAAAGAGAGAAAAUAAGAAAUCGAGGGAAUGAGAGAACCGAAACAAGCAGAAAAUAAAGGCAAGAAUUUAAAAGGAAACAUAGAAAAGAAAUAGAAAAGCAAGAAAAGAAAAAGGAAAAAACAAACAAAGAAAAAGAAAGAAAGUUACCAUUGGAAAUAAAAGCCGGGAUGACGCACACAGUCGAACGAAUGCAUAAUAGAAUCCGUUAACUACUUAGGUGCAUUCAUUCCCCAACGUGCGGUUAUCAAAUCUGCUCAUGCCCUAACCAUUAACCAUGCUGUCGUUGAUGUUGAGAAAGCAUGUGGUUAGUUGUUUGGCAUUCUAACAACCUAUUCCUACAACACCCAAUCAAAAGACAAACUAAAAAUGACAGGCCAAGAAUCAGAUAUUAGUAUUGUGAACCCGACGAAAGAGGUAGAGGUGGUGGAUGUUAAUGUGAUGAGGGAAGAAACACAUAACUUGUGGCAGCAAAUGGCUGAAAUUCAUCAGGCUUGUUCUAGGGGUCAGCCAGCGCCAGUUUAUCCCGCCAAUUCAACAUACAUCCCACCUUUAGCUCAGUAUCAUGAGCCUUCUACUGUGAAUUCAUCUCCACCUUUGGGCAGAGUUUGAACGAGUCUACAUUAGAAUGGUAUAUGCACCAAGAUCCUAGAAGGUGAUAUACGUGGGAUGAUCUAGCACAAGUAUUUUCCAGCCACUUCCAAUAUAAUCUUGAGAUCGUACCAGACCGGAUGUCGUUGAUAAAACUCGAGAAGAAACUCGGGGAAACUUUCAGGGAGUAUGGGUUCCGCUGGAGAGAACAGGCUACGAAAGCCGACCCUCCCAUGAGGAAAAGUGAAAUGGUGGACUACUUUUUGCAGGCUUUGGAGCCAACUUACUUUGGUCACCUGGUGAAGACAAUUGGCAAAUGUUUUAACGAAGUGGUGAAGAUGGGAGCUAUGGUCGAGGAAGGAUUGAAAUCUGAUAAAAUCAUGAACUAUUCAGCGAUUAAAGCAACCACCCAGGCCAUCCAAAGCGGCAGUAGGGGUGUGUUGGGACAAAAGAAGAAAGAAGAGGCUGCAACUAUUGAGUCCGGAGCAUGGUCAAUAUCUAGAGGCCCUUCACCCUACUACCAACCCAGACCCCACCACUUAAAUUACUCAUACACCACAUAUGGCCCUCCACAACCCUACUACCCACCACCGGAGCCACAUUUCUCCGUUCACCAUGCUCAAGCUUAUACCCAGCCUCCUACUCAUGCGCAAUGGCAUGCACCGGUUCCCCAAAACGCAUACCCGCCUUCACAAAACACAUAUCUACCCCCGAGGGCCUACAGAAAUCCUCCAGGGUCUGGUUUCCAUGGGAAUCAAGCUUUCAAGAAUGAGAGGGUGCAGAAGUAGAGAACAUUCACUUUGCUGGGUGAGUAUAUACUAGUCUUUUCCAAAAAUUGAGGCAGCUAGGACUGUUGGCCCCGAUUGAGCCCAAAGUGCCAAAUCCCCUUCCUAGAAAUCUGGACCAGUCAUUAAGUUGUGAAUAUUGUUCGAGAGCCACCGUGCAUGAUACUGAAAAAUGCUGGAAACUGAAAAUGGUUAUACAAGAGCUUAUUGACACUAACCCAAUUGAGGUUCAGGCCCUAGAGGCACCAAACAUUAACCAGAAUCCGCUGCCAGCUCACCACGAGGCUCAUGUGAUCGAAUUGAUGCAUAGGGGAUGGAAGCUUAUGAAACCUUCGCAGAUGGUAAUGACGAUCCAUUCUAGCAAAACCAAUUUGAAUGAAAAGCCAACCAAUGAGAAAGUGGUGGUUCAGUUGAAAGAUAACAAGCCACUACCGUCAAAGGUUAUUGGGUCAUUGAGUGGUGCGGAUGGAGAUGUGGGAAAGGGGUUCGAAGUCUAUUCACUAAGGUAAACAUGGUUGAAGUAUAGGGAGGGUCAAAUAAGGCAAAUCUGCAGUUCGUCUGACCAUGGGCAAAAGUCAACGACUGGAAGUCUUGGUAGUGGGUCUUGUUUUUCUUUAAGUUGUUUGGAUUAUUCCAGGGCCUGUAGUUCUGAUACUAUGUUCCGUCCGUUUGGAUGAGUUAAAACCCUGUUAUCUUUUCCUUCAAUGAAAUGCAGUUGUCUUUUUUUUUCUUUCAUUUUUAAUUCUUUUUUCAGUUUGUUUUUCUUCUCUGUACAUUCUUUUUAUGCUGAUAUCAAUAACAUGACAUGCAUGAGGAAUCCUAGGCCUAGUCUUGAAAGCCGAUCUUAUUCGGAAGUAAUAAUACAAGAAAUUUAAUGUGAAAUGAGUUAUGUCUUGAUUAUUCCAGGGUCUAUAGUCCAGAUACUAUGUUCCUUCCAUUUGGAUGAGUUAAAACCCUGUUAUCUUUUCCUUCAAUUAAAUGCAAUUGACUUUCUUUCCGCAUUCUUAAUUAUGUUUUAGUUACUUUUCUUCUCUACACAGUUCUUUUUAUGUUGAUAUCAAUAACAUGACAUGCAUGAAGAAUCCUCGGCCUAGUCUUGAAAGACGGUCUUAUUCUGAAGUAAUAAUACAAGAAAUUGAGUGUGAUAACGAGUUGGAACAUCAUGAUGGUUUCACCCGCCUUGAACAUUUGAGUUUGAUUAAUGAAAAAAGGUUAGUAUCAGUGCAUCAUGGCCAAUUGCACCAACAAAAAUAGAAAGAGCGUGCAACAGGAGAGUGAAUACGAGGAAGUUUGAAGUCGGACAGUUGGUGCUGAGAUGUAUCUUGCCUCAUCAGGAUGAAGCAAAAGGAAAAUGUGUCCAAACUGGCAGGAGCUAUUCGUUAUAACUAGAGUAUUGUCUAAUGGUGCAUUAUAUCUAACAGACGUGGAGGGAAAGUGUGCAGAAAUGGCCAUCAAUUCUGAUGUUGUCAAUAGAUACUAUGUAUGACUUCUUUAUUUUUAUUGUACUUGUUUUAUAUUCGUCAUAUUUUGAAGAUUGGAAUGAUGAAGCCGUUUUGUUCUGCUAUCUGAAACACUUUAUCCUUUGUCACCCCUUUUGAGCCAUGUUUAUUUUUUUUCAUACUCAACUUUCGAAAUCAAUGGCACAAUUAAGAAACGCAAGUGCCGAAAAUAAGUAAAUGAAGAAGAAGAAGAAGAAGAAGAAGAACAACAACAACAACUACCCAGUAUACUCCCACCAGGUGGGGUCUGGAAGAAGAAGAAGAAGAAGAAGAAUAAAAAUUCAAAAGUCCCCAAGCAAGAAACUAGGGCAAAUGUUGUGAUUGUUGUGAAAGAUUGGAUUCCAAAAGUUGUAAUUGUUAAUCCACGUCGAAUUGUUUUUGAGCUUUUUAUGCACUUUCUUUCUAACCCUAUCCCAAAGGCACAUUACGGUCCAAAGAAAGACCUUCUGAUCAGUCUUUCAGAAAUGCCAGGUCAAGCAGGUAAAAGUAAUUCAUGACGGGGGCAACACUCUGGUUCAAGCAAGAAAAGCAAAAAUAAAAAUGAGAGUCUUAUUGGUGAAAACCCUCGCGGGCACCAUAAGGCGACAUGUUCUGAGAGAAAAUUUAAAUGAGAGUCUUAUUGGUGAAAACCUUCACGAGCACCGUAAGGCGGCGUGAGUUUAGAGAAAUGAGAGUCUUAUAGGUGGAAACCCUCACGGGCACCUUAUGGCGAAAUUGAGUUGAGAAAUGAAUAACUAAGAAAGGUCUGUUGUUGGAAAACUGUUUCGAGGCAUUGCAGGAUGAAGAAGGUCAAGAAUUGGGUAGAAUAGUUAAGUGAUGGAAAUUUUGUGGCAAAAACGUAUGGUAACUGAAAGCUGGUUGGUUGGACAAUGCAGUGGAAGGAUUUUCAGCAAGGAGGCCAUCAACUAACCACCAGUUUAAACUGAUGAAAUUUUCUUUGAUUAAAACAAAGGUAGGAAAAGUCGUUGCUCCGGAGGAACUCUCCAUGAGGGAAAAAACAAGAAGUAAUCAGGUUUCACCACAAAGUGUGGUAUGAUUAAAAUACAGGAAUAUUCAGGAAUAACAUGGGGAAUAAAGGUUUGCAUGUUUAGGAUAAAAUUCAAGUAGGAGCGGUCAAGUCCUUCCUGAAUAAUAGGAUGUAGUUCAAAACAUUGUAAAUGGCAUAAUGUCGUGGGAGUAAUACAUUUAGAAAAUAUAAAUUAGGUUCAUAAUUGUUAAGAAUUGUCAGGACCUCCUUGGAUAAUAGGACUUAGCUUUUAAUUCUUAGUAAUAGUUGGUUUAUGAUUCAAUAACACUCACCCACGUGCCCAACUACCAAACUGGGGCAGAAAAUUUUUCUUGUUUUCGUACGUUACGUUGAAGUCAGGAGCCCGCCUGGAUAGCAUGGGAAUAAUUUCAAGUGUUGAAGUCGGGAGCCCGCCCGUAUAACAGAGGCAUAUAUUUUCAAGUUUUGAAGUCGGGAGCCCACCUGUAUAACAGAGGCAUAUAUUUUCAAAUUUUGAAGUCGGGAGCCAGCCCGUAUAACAUAGGCAUACGUUUUCAAGUGUUGAAGUCGGGAACCAGCCUGGAUAACAGAGGUAUACAUUUUCAAGUGUUGAAGUCGGGAGCCCGCCCGUAUAACAGAGGCAUACAUUUUCAAGUUUUGAAGUCGAGAGCCUACCCAUAUAACAGAGGCAUACAUUUUCAAGAUUUGAAGUCGGGAGCCUGCCCGUAUAACAGAGGCAUACAUUCUCAAGUGUUGAAGUCGGGAGCCCGCCCGUAUAACAGAGGAAUACAUUUUCAAGUUUGAAGUCGGAAGACCGCCCGUAUAACAGAGGCAUACAUUUCAAGUUUUGAAGUCAGGAGACCACUUAAAGAACAGAGGAAAACAUUUUCAAGUCAGUAGCUACGAGCCCGCCUGGAGAACAGAGGAGUAUAUUUUAAAGUCUUGAUGUCAGGAGCCCGCCUGGAGAACAGAGGAGCCCGCCUGGAGAACAAAGGUAUCACAAUUCAAGUUUUAGUUUUCAAAAUUUCAUUAAUAUCAGAUAACAUGUACUCCGUUUUCCAAACUGGGGCAGAUAGUUUUCUUUGUUUUGUUUAUUUUGUGAAGUCAGGAGCCCGCCUGGAGAACAGAGGAAUACAGUUCAAAUUUUGAAGUCAGGAUCCCGCCUAGAGAACAGAGGAAUACAGUUCAAGUUUUAAAGUUAGGAGCCCGCCUGGAGAAUAGAGGUAUUAUAAUUCAAGUUUAGUUUUAGUUAUUAUUAAUAUCCGGUUACAUGUACCCAAUUUCCAAACCGGGGCAGAAACGUUUCUUUGUUUUGUCUAUUUUUAUGAAAUUAGAAGCCCUCCUGGAGAACAGAGGAAUACAAUUCAAGUUUUGACGUCGGGAGCCACCCGUACAACAAGGGAAUACAUUCAAGUUCAGCAAUUUGGAGAGAAGGAACAACAUCUCAGUUUGUAGUUUGGAGUGGCAAUAAGGUAUUUUACCAAGAGAACACAAAACAACAAGACAAGGAGGAAGUACAAGAGCAAGUUUGAAGACUUUAGAUAUGAAUUUUGUAAUUCGUAGUUCAUAGCUUAUUCUAGCUUCUUUUAUUUUGACAUGGUGUAGUAAGGGAGGCCAGCAAGUAGCAGCAGCAGAAAUCGCAGUGAAAUCACAGCUCCUGGUAGUCCCAGCUACCAGACAUUCUUGAACUACACUGACAUAAUUCCUGUUUAGCCCAGGAUAUGUAGGCAACCUCGGAAGCAGGGUGCUGUCAACUCUUUCAAAAAAUGCAUCACACGAAAAAUUCAAACGGGCAAAAAUCGUUCGUAUUUGCUCACUUAUCUUUGCCCGAAAACCUUUCAUGUUUCCGAGUAAAGAGGGGCAGCUGUGAGCACGUGAUUUUUUCCCCAUAUAUGAAUUAUUCCCAAAAAUCAAACAAAAUAAUCUUUUUUUCAUUAUUUUACAAUUUUGUGAAUUUUGUGUCAUUUUUUGUGAAUUGUUUGCAUUUUAUUUUUGCAUUUUCAUUCAUAUGAAAAAUACAAAAAAUACAUUUCUCAUUUGCAUUUAGGAUUUAACUUCAUAUUUUAGGAUUAAUUAAGGGUUAAUUUGUUAUUACAACAAAAUAUAAAGAAAACAACAAAAAUAGUCCACUUUUGCAUUUUUAGAUGUUAAUUAUUGAAUUUUUCACAAAAUAGAUUUUAAACAGUUUUGCAAUUAAUUAGUUUAACUUUGGAAAUAUAUUAGGUCUUUAAUUUUAUUUUAGCAUUUUUUUAAAAUCAGAAAAAAUUAAAAAAAUACAAGAUAAAAACAAAGUAAGUAAAAAAGAAAUAAAAGAUAAACAAUAAAAAAGAGUGGUCAUAAUUGAAGACCCAAUGUUGGGCCAUUUAUUCACGUAAUGCUAGGACCAAGCGGAUUUUUCCCCAAUCCAGGCCAUUUCGAACGCUGGCCCUGUCCGCCCCUGUGACCACCAAACAAUGCCAUUUUGGUGUGUGGAAAUCUGGACCGUCCAUACCGCUCAAUCCAACCGUCCAGAUUUGUUCCAUCAUUUUAAAUAAAUGUGUAAUAAUACACUUUACAAAUUUAGAGACCAAACCCUUAAUCCUCGUACUCACUGCCGCCCAUCGUAAGACCACCAUGUCUCCGUCGUCCUCCACCGUCCGCCGGCAGGGGCGAAGCUCCGAAAGACCUAAAAUUUUCACCACAAACUCCCCUUCCCCUCCUCUUUCCAACCCCCAUAACCAUCUCCCUCGAAUUUUAAACCAACUUCUCGAAUAUUAGAUCGAAGUCUCCGGUGAAAAUCCUAAUUCAUCAAAACUCGUCCAAACUCACACCCUACCUUCCCCUGACCUCUCUCAUCCCUAAUCCCUCAUUGUUUUCAUUCGAAUUUAGCGGAAUUGUUCGAAUUUCAACCAUGGAGAUGGCAGAACCUUAGGAAUUCGGAUUGGCUCAAAUUUUUUGAUUCUCUCAGUUCAGUGUUAUAUUCGAGUCACGAAAAAUGUGUCCGUUUGUUCUUUGAUAAGAACAAAUGCUUACAUUAUUCCAAGGCUCGAAUCGAGUUCUCCAGUCUCUAUUCCGAGCUAUGUAGGUAAGGCCUAUUGGUCCUUCUUCAUCAUUUUUCUCUUGUUAAUAGAUAUUUCUGCCAAUUAGUCAAUUUAGGACUUGUUUUAGUUUUCUUCAUUUUUUUGUCAGUUCGUAUUAACUGGUGUUUAAUUUAGAUUAGUUCAUUGUUUGUUCUUCAUUCUCUUUUGAUUCACAUUGGGUAUUGGUUCGUCGAUUCAACUGUGCUCUAUUUGAAAUUAAGUGUAUCAUGACUAGUUAACAUCAUUUUUUCUGUUUUGCUCAGUGAUAGGUUAAGUUUUCCAUAUACAGUUAUAGUCUAGUCUAAUAAGCUUGAUGAUGUGUUUUAGUUAAUUGGUCAUGGCCAUUGGAUUUAUGUUCAUAUCAAAUUAAUUUGAUCAUUUAGGGAUUUUGUUUGAUUUAUAUUAGUUUUUGUUUGUUUAAAUCUAGUUAAAUGUGCUGUUUGGCUAUGGCUGUAGUAGGUGAGUAAUUUAGAUUUAAAUUCAAGGGUAGUGUAGGCUUUAGAUAGAAAGAAUCUUGGUAACAACUAGUGGAAACUUCUGGAACAUUCUGGACAAUGUUCAAGAUAGAAUUUUAGGAAUUUUUGAGUAACAAGUCAGUAAAUGAGGGACUAUUAAACAAAAUCUGAAAUAAAAGGGGGNNNNNNNNNNNNNNNNNNNNNNNNNNNNNNNNNNNNNNNNNNNNNNNNNNNNNNNNNNNNNNNNNNNNNNNNNNNNNNNNNNNNNNNNNNNNNNNNNNNNNNNNNNNNNNNNNNNNNNNNNNNNNNNNNNNNNNNNNNNNNNNNNNNNNNNNNNNNNNNNNNNNNNNNNNNNNNNNNNNNNNNNNNNNNNNNNNNNNNNNNNNNNNNNNNNNNNNNNNNNNNNNNNNNNNNNNNNNNNNNNNNNNNNNNNNNNNNNNNNNNNNNNNNNNNNNNNNNNNNNNNNNGGGAGGGGAGUGUGAACAAGAUCUAGAAGCUUCUCCUUUAAGUUUGCCUAUAAAAGGCAUGCCUCUUUGCCUUAAUAGAUAAGUUUGGAGUGCCCAAAAAUGCCCCCCAAAAAUGUUUCUCCCUAGUUCUAGAUCUGAUAAUAGAAAUUCAAAUUCAAUAAAAACAAAAACAAUAAAAAACCUUCGAAAAAUCCAAAAAUACUGUUCUAUUAGAAUUUUAGGUUAAUUUCAGCUUUUGGUUGUUUAUUUGUUGAUUUUCCAGUUUAGUUUUUUAUUGCUCUGGUUUCAGAGAUCUACUAUUUGGUUUUGAUUGGUUUUGGUCUCAACAGAGUUAUUGUGGGGUCAGCUCUUGGGUUUUAUGCUUCUGUGAAAUAUUCUGGGGCAUUUACAAGCAUAUCUGGCUUCAUUCGACUGAUCGUUGGUCGAUUUUGAUUACUGGAGAAAUCCUAUAGUUUCUGGGUCAAGUUUGUGUUUUGAUUGCUUGGAUUUUGUUUGGUUUCAAACUCCCUUAGUCAUUGAAGUGAUUUAUGAUGAUUUAUUUCUGCUCAUAGCUGUUGUUGCUGGCUGAUUUUGCUUCUUCCUAUUUCUGAAUUCCAGGUAUUUUUCCUUGGCCUCAUUUGAACUAAAAGGAUCCAUGUGGAUUUACUGACUUGGAAGCUAAAUGAUGAAGAGUUCUAAUUGAUUGUUGAAUAAUUUAGUUUCUGCUUGGUAUUGAGAUGGAUCAGUCAUGCAUAUAUAAUUUGUACUGUCUGUAAUAAGUUGGACUAUAUGACUUAUCUUCAGACUCACGUAUAGGUUGAAUGCCUAGUCUAGUUUCAGUAGUAAUAAAUAGGUUCAAAUGGUUUCACUAGUUAUAAAUAGGUUCAAAUAGUUAUAAACAAUGUUAGUGAUUAAUGUUAGUCAGCUCUCAAGCACUGAUUCAUUUCAAUAGUUGUAUAAUAGUUCCGUGUUUCAUAUAGUUCACCUCCGUAGUUCAUCUAAUUUUAAAAUACCACAUUGCUUGAAUGCUAGUCCAGUAGAGGUAGUUUGAAUAAUGGAAGACUUUGGGAUUGGGGCAAUGGUUGACUCAUAUACAGUAUAUAAAAUCACACGACUCCAGUUUGUGUUCCUAGUUCAUUUUCACCAUAAACAAUUUGAUUAGUGCCUGCCCUGUUGUAAGUUGUUUAAACAUAUUUGGAGUAGCUUGAUACCAAUUCAGCAUAUUCUCAUUUUGAGUUGGAUUUUCGUUUUGGUGCAAGGCUCAACAGCCUACUUUCCACGAAUUGAAAUUUAUCUCACCUGAUGCAGGCCCAGGUCCGGUUACUGAUUUCCUCUUUAAUUGGGCAUGGGCCAAAUUUUGUGACUGACCAAUGUGUUGGUGUAGAACAGUGUAAUUUCCCUUUGUUGGGGCUCGACUCGGAUCCCAGUGGUUGAUCAUUGGUGCGGAAUUUUUUCCUUUCAUUGAAUAAGCCCGGUAACUAAAUUAACAAGAACCACUUCUUUUUAGAGACAAAUAAUUAGAAAAUCAUAGUUACUUUAGGUUUUGUGUUUUAAAUAAAAAUGAUAUGAGCCUCGCCAAAUUAAAAGGAAAAAUUGCGGGGCCCUCAAUAAAUUGUUGUACAUAGAAUUUGGGAUAGGCCGUUUAGCGAGUUUCAUGGCCUUUCCCAAAUAAUAAUGCGUUACUCUCUUUAGCCGAUCACAUUAAUAACAUUACCUUCCUAAAUUCGGGUGCACAUUUAUGUGACCCAAAUUCAAAUAUCGAUGAAGUCAAAAUGUGUCGGCAACCACGGGUGUGUUGAUGUGACGUGGUUUGAGACACGUUCCUACGACGUUGCAAUUAUCAUGAAAAAUUAUAAUAAAGGCAGUUUAUAAUUAAAAUGCACAUAAUCUAAAACAUGUUUUGAAAUCAGAUAAAUCCAUAUGUAAUAGUUGAGUGAUCGUGCUAGAACCACGAAACCCGAGAAUGCCUAACACCUUCUCCCGGUUUAAUAGAAUUCCUUACUUGGAUUUCUGGUUCGCAGGCUGUUAACAAAGUCAUACUUUUCCUCAAUUCGGGAUUCAAUCGGUGACUUUGGAUACCAUUAAUCUCCCAAGUGGAGACUCUGAAUCUUAAUAAUAAAUCCCAUUUCGAUUAUCCUUUUAUUGAAAAACUCCUUUACGCCUUUGCGGGUGUAGUGAAAAAGGAAGUGUGACAA